GCAUAUUUCCUUUGUGAAAUAGCAAUGUCAAUAUUAGAUUGUGCUACAUCAAUACUCAAAAAAUACUUUAGCUUUGUUAAAUCCUUGGUCAAAGUGAUUAAGGAAAUGCUAUUUAAGUAAUGCCCUUAUGAUCAUCAUCUGUUAUAAUAAUCAUAGUUAUUAGGCGCAUCAAGGCGCUAAGAGUCUUGAGUGAGGUGAGGCGUAAAAAUUA
rnacentral:misc_RNA from 1 species